rnacentral:misc_RNA from 1 species
CAAAAAUACAGAACGCAAGUUCAUAUAAUGGUAGUGAUAGAUCUUACAUGACUUGGAUUUUAUUGCUUUUGCUCAUCCUUUCCAACUGUACAUGAUUUGACCACACAUAAUUAAACAAGCUUUAAUGAAGUACGAAAGGCACAAAUUAAUAGGCCUUAUUCUUCAUAAUUAAGGGUAAAAAAAAGAAAAAAGUUUAAUUAACAACAGUAUAGACUAUAUGUAUGAUCGGCUUUUAGAACUGAUUCAUGGCGAUCAAUCGAGCCGGGCUAAGAAGGCGAUAGGAGGAGCCAUGCUUCAUGGAGAAGCCACAUCCCUGACGAUUUGUUUCAUCGUUAUGAUCAUCCAUGGCUACAAGCACCUUGUAGAAGAGGUCAACGUUGCAUGGGAGUGCGAGAGGGCCUUCUGGGUUGUAACCAUAUUCUGAUUCUGCUUCUUCAAGUAGAAUCUUGAAAAGUGGGUGAUUUGCAUAUUCAGUCUUGAUCACAAACCUCUGUUUCUGGGGUCCAACGUACACAGAGAAGCAUCCUUCAGGAGCUACUUGCCUUUUUUUUCUUGAGAAUUGAUCAUCUUCUUCCAUUGAAUUAGGGUGGAGCCGUGGCCAUGAUUUGCUCUUACCUGUUAAAGAACGGACGAGUCUUGAUGUUUUCUUGCUGUUUCUGCCUAAGGAUUUGCAUCUCUCCCAUGUUUGGAUGAUCAAAUUUCUUUUCCUUCCUUUUCCCUUAAUCACUUCCAUUCACUAUGCUUAAUUUGGAGCAAAAGCUAACAACGACUAGCUAUAUUUGUAUACAAGAAAUUGAUGUUGGGCUCAAAAACCACACA